UGGGGAAUUUUGGACAAUGGGCGAAAGCCUGAUCCAGCAAUGCCGCGUGUGAAGAAGGCCUUCGGGUUGUAAAGCACUUUUGUCCGGAAAGAAAUCCUUGGCUCUAAUACAGUCGGGGGAUGACGGUACCGGAAGAAUAAGCACCGGCUAACUACGUGCCAGCAGCCGCGGUAAUACGUAGGGUGCAAGCGUUAAUCGGAAUUACUGGGCGUAAAGCGUGCGCAGGCGGUUUGCUAAGACCGAUGUGAAAUCCCCGGGCUCAACCUGGGAACUGCAUUGGUGACUGGCAGGCUAGAGUAUGGCAGAGGGGGGUAGAAUUCCACGUGUAGCAGUGAAAUGCGUAGAGAUGUGGAGGAAUACCGAUGGCGAAGGCAGCCCCCUGGGCCAAUACUGACGCUCAUGCACGAAAGCGUGGGGAGCAAACAGGAUUAGAUACCCUGGUAGUCCACGCCCUAAACGAUGUCAACUAGUUGUUGGGGAUUCAUUUCCUUAGUAACGUAGCUAACGCGUGAAGUUGACCGCCUGGGGAGUACGGUCGCAAGAUU
rnacentral:rRNA from 1 species